UUUCCGUAGGUGAACCUGCGGAAGGAUCAUUAAAGAGUUCAUGCCCUCACGGGUAGAUCUCCUACCCUUGAAUAUCUAUACCCUAGUUGCUUUGGCCGGCCGUGGAAACUUAAUGGGCUACGGCUUAUGCGUGCCUGCCUGAUGAAACAAACUCUGUUUUUAGUGAUGUCUGAGAACUAUAUAAUCGUUAAAACUUUCAACAACGGAUCUCUUGGUUCUG
rnacentral:misc_RNA from 1 species